AUGUGAUGUGAGAGCGAAUCGAUAAAAGGAUUCCUUCCUUCACUUUUCACUUUGCUGCUUCUCUCUUUACUGCAGCAGUUAUAGCUUCAUUCCCAACCAAUCCUGGGAAACAGUGGGGGAAAAUCACUGCUCGUCUUUCUCUGCUCCACUCUCUUCGGUUCCACAAUAUAUUGUUGUCAUCAAGGUUUACAAUAUACAAAGCUCAUUCUCCUCUUUCCUCGCCCUUUUCCCCCUCUCUCUCGGUUUCUCCCUUACACUAUCAUUAUAUAUUAAUAGGACUGUUUCCUUUGUCCACCUGGACCUUUUAUUGAUUUUUGGACCACACUGUUUGAAGAGAGAGUGGGAGAAUCUCCUUCAUCAGAGAACAUCUUGGGCAUCAGAACGCCCAUCACACAAGCUAUCAGACUGUAGCCAGUCAGUGUACAUGGGAAUGAUUUGUAGGCAUGACUAAUAGAAGCCGAUGGGCAGGAUGCCAGGGUUACUUUCACCUCUUUGAGAAACACCUUUCAGUUAUCACAGUGAGUCAAGUACUACUGUAUGUCACUGACUUCUUUUUUAUUCUUAAGUUUCUACAGACAUUUAUGGGUCAAUGACAUGAUGCUCAUUUUCCUUUGAAAGUCACUGAUCUUUAAAGCUCUUCUUUAAUGGCAUGGUUUUAUUUUCUGGAUUAAAAUUAAUUUUAUAUAGUUUUUUGGGGUGGCAUAAGCCUUUUAAUUGCCUCAUUAAAAAUUAAAAAGUAGAAAAGAAGAAUGUAGUUUGGAUUCAUUUAAACAAAACUGGUUCACUGCUUCAAACAUUGACAAAGCAUGGGUAGUUCAUGUUGUGAAAGAUUGUGUUAGAUGUGUGAGAUUCCCUGAAAUGUUUAGUACAUUAGAAAACAUCAAAUACUAUUUAUAAAUUAUAUUCAUGAAUUAAUAAUUUAUAUUUAUAAUCAAAAUAUGUAUUUAAAAACUUUUUUUGAAAAUAAGAAUUGUCAAUUAUGCCACAUUUCAUUUUUAGAAUGAUACAUUUGUAACAUUUCUAGAAUAUGGUAAGAGAGCCCCCCCCCCCCCCUAAAAAAAAUCAGCUCUCCCUUAAAUGUUUUACAAAGUUUGACUCUGGCAUUUGAGGGAGAGCAUGCAGGCCACUGCCUCUUCACAGAUCUCUGCUUCUGUCAUCAUGCUCCACCAUCCGUGAAAACACACUUCUGCAAGCACACAUACAAAGACAGAGCACCAUUUUUUAAGUUAAAAACAGAACAUAUUGUAUUCAAAGCCAAGACAACUCAGACAAACAUG
ensembl:lncRNA